GUCCACGGCCACGCCACCCUGAACGUGCCGGAUCUCAUCUGAUCUCAGAAGCUAAGCAGGGUCGGACCUGGUUAGUACUUGGAAAGGAGACCACCUAGGAAGACCAAGUGCUGUAGGCG
rnacentral:rRNA from 1 species